CUUUCAAAUUCUCUCAGCUUUAUUAUUGUCUUUAAUUGACAAUAUGGCUGAGGAGUUGAUAUUGUUGGAUAACAUUUGCCGAAAAAGAUAAAUUAUGAGUACAACGAAUAAGAUCUUAUGAACAAGAUCCAAAUGCUUUUGCAAAUGAAUCCCAUUCACAAGAAGAUCUCUCGUCUUAUCCAUAAGUGAAAAUCCAUUUGAGUCAAUUAUUUUAUUGUUGAGUAUAUUGAUGAGGUUUGGAAGGAAAUUUUCCAUUGUUACCCUCAGGUCGUUCCUUAUUUGGGCUAUUCUUUUUUGGUACCUUUGAUUCCAAAUUUUCAUUUUUCUAGUAUCGCUUUUACUUUUGAGUGAAUCAAUGAAUUAAACAUGCCAUGGUGGUGUAAUAGAGUCUAUAUGCACUAUUGUAUGUUAACUACGAGACUUGACACCACAUCUCAACUCAAAACCUUAAGGUAGUAAGUAUAUAAGUCACCUUUCUUAUAUAUUCAAUAUUUCAUCCAUUCCUAAUUGAGGUAAGACUAACCACUCACGCUUGUAUUCCAACCUAACCACUUCGUUUUCUCUCUUAGCUGCACUGUUGAAGCUUUUCCAUGGUGGAAUCUUCAAAUGGGAUUGUUCCCCAACCUACACCGCAAUAGGCAGUUGCUACGCUCUUUGGAAUUGCUGACAAUUCUUCAAAAUAUGAGGCUAUAACUUGGGUUGUAUUUAUCCGAUUUUAGUGAUCUUGAUGGAGUUGGAAAGAUGAGAAGAAGAGUUGCAACUCUUAAUUUGAUGCAAAAGCCCAAUUUGGAGGUCUUGAUUAGGGGUGUACGUGGGUAGGGUUGGUCCGGUUUUGACAAAAUCGGAUACCCGACUAGAUCGAUUAUCUUUGAGUUGAGUUUAGUUCUAAACCCGUAUUUUUUUAUUUAACUUGAAAUGAACCGACCCGAUCAAGAACGAGUUGAGUUGGGUUGGCGGGCUAUACAUAAAUAAUAAUCUGUUUUUUAUUUUAUUUUA